rnacentral:rRNA from 1 species
AGUGAACGCUGGCGGUAGGCCUAACACAUGCAAGUCGAACGGCAGCACAGUAAGAGCUUGCUCUUACGGGUGGCGAGUGGCGGACGGGUGAGGAAUACAUCGGAAUCUACUUUUUCGUGGGGGAUAACGUAGGGAAACUUACGCUAAUACCGCAUGCGACCUACGGGUGAAAGCAGGGGAUCUUCGGACCUUGCGCGAUUGAAUGAGCCGAUGUCGGAUUAGCUAGUUGGCGGGGUAAAGGCCCACCAAGGCGACGAUCCGUAGCUGGUCUGAGAGGAUGAUCAGCCACACUGGAACUGAGACACGGUCCAGACUCCUACGGGAGGCAGCAGUGGGGAAUAUUGGACAAUGGGCGCAAGCCUGAUCCAGCCAUACCGCGUGGGUGAAGAAGGCCUUCGGGUUGUAAAGCCCUUUUGUUGGGAAAGAAAAGCAGCAGGUUAAUACCCCGCUGUUUUGACGGUACCCAAAGAAUAAGCACCGGCUAACUUCGUG